GCCCGCCAGAGAAUUACAAGCGAACCCCUUCAAACCCAAAGGACUUGGCGGUGUCCCAUAUCAACCUAGAGGAGCCUGUCCUAUAAUCGAUACUCCACGUUUAACCUUUCCCCCCCUUGCACCCCAGCCUAUAUACCGCCGUCGUCAGUCUGCCUGAUGUCAGUUCUACACAGCCGACAAAACAGUUUACCACAAAAAUGUCAGGUCAAGGUGUAGCUAAUGGGGUGGUCAGAGAUGGGCUACAUUUCCUAAAAAUAAGAAUCACCAACCACACCAUGAAACAUAUGUCAAAAGACGGAUUUAGUAGUAAGCAUGAACAAGACCUGCCAUACUGAA
rnacentral:rRNA from 1 species